rnacentral:rRNA from 1 species
GAGUUUGAUCUUGGCUCAGAUUGAACGCUGGCGGGAAUGCUUUACACAUGCAAGUCGAGCGGCAGCGCGGGGCAACCUGGCGGCGAGCGGCGAACGGGUGAGUAAUGUAUCGGAACGUGUCCUGAGAUGGGGGGAUAGCCCGGUGAAAACCGGAUUAAUACCGCAUACGAUCGAGAGAUGAAAGUGGGGGACCGCAAGGCCUCACGUCUUAGGAGCGGCCGAUAUCUGAUUAGCUAGUUGGUGGGGUAAAGGCCCACCAAGGCUUCGAUCAGUAGCUGGUCUGAG